GAGCGAUCGCCCCACGUGAGCUAAAUCCGCUCUCCACAGAGUUCGAGAGCUCUCCUCCCUCCUCCGAUCCUUUGCCUCGAUCACGGGAGGAAGAUGGAGGCGGCCGAAGAAGCGGAGGGAAGCGCUUCGAAGGAAGAACCACAGGAAGCUCUCGAAGAGAUGCUCUCUAGACACCGGCAAGAGAUGACCAAGCUCCAUAGCAAAGAGAUGAGUCUGAAAAAAGCUGCUGCAAAAGGAAGCAAAGCUGAACAGAAAGCCAAGAAGAAGCAGGUGGAGAAUGAGAUAUCCCGUCUUCAAUCCCAACUAAAAGCUAAACACACACAAGAACUUGCAUCAUUGGGCUAUAAAGCAACUGAGAGAACAGAGAAGAAUAAUUUAGACAUUCUGGUGAAGGCCAUUGCUGGCGUUAAUGUCACAGGCAAUAGUGACUUGGCAAAACCCAGUAAAGGAGCAAGGAGAAGAGAAAGAAGAGCUCAGGAAGAAGCUGCAAGAGAGCAGAGGAUUCAGGAAGAACAGAGCAACAUGAUUAGCGAUCGCAUGAUUGAAAAUGAGAGGCUGGAGAGGAAACUGGAGCCCCUGGGAUUGACAAUCAACGAGAUAAAACCAGAUGGUCAUUGUCUUUAUCGAGCUGUUGAGGACCAGCUCUCACUUUACUCCAAUGAUAACUCGCCCUACGUUUUCCAGGAGCUACGAAAAAUGGCUGCUAAUUACAUGAGAAACCAUGCAUCUGAUUUUCUACCAUUUUUCCUAUCUGAGAGUAAAAUUGAACUUGAUGCAGAUAGGUCACCCCUGGAAAGAUUUGAGAAGUACUGCGAAGAGGUUGAGUCCACAGCAGCUUGGGGAGGACAACUUGAGCUGGGUGCUCUUACACAUUGCCUUAAGAAACAUAUCAUCAUAUAUUCAGGUUCUUUCCCUGACGUGGAGAUGGGAAAAGAAUACAAGACUGAAAUAGGAAACAGUAUCAGCAACCCAAGCAUAAUGUUAUCGUAUCAUCGGCAUGCUUAUGGCCUUGGCGAGCACUACAAUUCGGUCAUUCCCAACACUGUGAGGUGGGAGCUGCUGGAUGUUGGCAACCAGAAUUCAGAAAGAUGAGGGGAUAUUCUUGACUUGGUUAUCUUUUUGCACUGGAUCUAAAGGCCAUUGCACCUAUGGGCUCAUGAAAUGACUCCUUUAGGGUCCCAUAGACAGUAUGUAAGGAGAGGAGGAAAAAAAAAAGCAGAGGGAUCAAGUUCUUAUUACCUUUUUAUCUCAUUUGUCAUCUCUUGAUAUCAAUCACAUGCCUCAAUAGAGUGAAGUCAGUGGUGGUCCUCUGAGCCAGAAUUGAACCAGGAGAGGACCACUAAGAAAACCUACUUCCAGACUUGUGGUGGUAAAAGGCAAAAGGAAGAACAAACCCAGAAAGAAUCUGAGAGAAACAGCUACAGGAUUUAAAUAUUUAAAUUUCAAACAGCCACCAGGGCAAUUUGUAGAAAGUAGAAUGGGAGCAUCUUCCAUAGUUGAGAGGCUUGUAGGUGUAGAUGUGAAAGCUUGAGUGGGGGCUUCAACUCAGGAAAUUAAAUAUCUCCUGGUACAAACCCAGCAUCACAUAGAAUGUGCCUUUUUCAUUCCACCACUAUGUCAACUGGUUUGAUGCAUUUGGUGCCACUGUAAUAAUUGUAGAUCUACAAAUAAUGGAAAGCAGCAGUCAGCCAUCAUCUGUUGGUAGCUUUAAGUUUGUCCCUCUUGCACACUUUCCACCCACCCACAUUGAAUGCAGUAACCAAUCCAUGCCAUGGACCACCUUUUUCAUAUCGUUGCUGACAACUAUAGAUUAUUGGUGGAUAUGAAAUCAUUUAAAAUCUUUGGAUGGGAGCUGAGUAGUGAUGAGGUGAAUUCUAGAGACUUGACAGGUAGCCGACAGCAGAUAAUGAAGGUGGAAUGCAAGAGAUUGCUGCUUCGAACUCCUGUAUCAGCAAUGUGGACAAUAGCUCAACACUGGUACAGACAUGCUUGAUGUCCUUUGUGCCGACUCUGGAGGCCACUACUAUCGUUCAGAUUGGGUGUUCCUACUAGUUUAUGUAUUGCCUGUGUCUUUGUAAGUGUUUCAGUGGCUUAUUGCAGCUGAGAUAUGCAUGUAGAAGCCAUUAACCACAUUGGAGAAUCAAAGGUUGCUGUACUUGUGUGUC